rnacentral:miRNA from 1 species
GGAAAAUGAGUGAGUGUGUGUGUGUGUGUGUGUGUGUGUGUGUGUGUGCACGCGUGUGGGCACGCACACCUGCAUACAUGCACAAGCACAUACU